rnacentral:rRNA from 1 species
GACGUAGGGGGCCAGCGUUGUUCGGAAUUACUGGGUGUAAAGGGUUCGUAGGCGGUGUGGCAAGUCGGGAGUGAAAUCUCUGGGCUCAACUCAGAGACUGCUUCCGAAACUGCUGUGCUGGAGUGUGGGAGAGGCGCGUGGAAUUGCAGGUGUAGCGGUGAAAUGCGUAGAUAUCGGGAAGAACACCCGUGGCGAAGGCGGCUCUCUGGGACGGUACUGACGCUGAGACGCGAAAGCGUGGGGAGCGAACAGG